rnacentral:rRNA from 1 species
UACGUAGGGUGCAAGCGUUGUCCGGAAUUAUUGGGCGUAAAGAGCUCGUAGGCGGUUUGUUGCGUCGGCUGUGAAAUCCCGAGGCUCAACCUCGGGUCUGCAGUCGAUACGAGCAAACUAGAGUGUUGCAGGGGAGACUGGAAUUCCUGGUGUAGCGGUGGAAUGCGCAGAUAUCAGGAGGAACACCGGUGGCGAAGGCGGGUCUCUGGGCAGUAACUGACGCUGGAGGAGCGAAAGCGUUGGGGAGCGAAC